rnacentral:rRNA from 1 species
GACGAACGCUGGCGGCGUGCUUAACACAUGCAAGUGGAGCGACGAACCGGGGCUUGCCCCGGGGCAGAGCCGCGAACGGGUGAGUAACACGUGGGUAACCCACCCCGAUGACCGGGACAACCCGAGGAAACUCGAGCUAAUACCGGAUGUGCUCCUUGGCCGUGAGGUCAAGGCGUAAAGAUAGCUUCGGCCUUCGCAUCGGGACGGGCCCGCGGCCCAUUAGCUUGUUGGUGGGGUAACGGCUCACCAAGGCGACGAUGGGUAGCUGGUCUGAGAGGACGAUCAGCCACACUGGGACUGAGACACGGCCCAGACUCCUACGGGAGGCAGCAGUGGGGAAUCUUGCGCAAUGCGCGAAAGCGUGACGCAGCAACGCCGC